rnacentral:rRNA from 1 species
AGGACGAACGCUGGCGGCGUGCUUAAAACAUGCAAGUCGAACGGACUUCUCAUGAAGCUUGCGAUUGAGAAGUUAGUGGCGGACGGGUGAGUAACGCGUGGGCAACCUGCCCCUGAGCCCGGGAUAACAGUUCGAAAGGACUGCUAAGACCGGAUAUACUUGCGGGGAAGCAUUUCUCUGUAAGGAAAGGGAACGCUCAGGGAUGGGCCCGCGUCCCAUUAGCUAGUUGGUGAGGUAACGGCCCACCAAGGCGACGAUGGGUAGCCGGCCUGAGAGGGUGAACGGCCACACUGGGACUGAGACACGGCCCAGACUCCUACGGGAGGCAGCAGUUGGGAAUCUUCGGCAAUGGGCGCAAGCCUGACCGAGCAACGCCGCGUGAGUGAUGAAGGUUUUCGGAUUGUAAAGCUCUGUCUUCCGGGACGAUAAUGACGGUACCGGAGGAGGAAGCCACGGCUAACUACGUG